rnacentral:tRNA from 1 species
GUGAAUAAGGGUGAAGGUCGGGUAGGUUCAACUCUACCCAGGCCCACUGCUGUAAAUUGCAAAGCGGGUUGGGUAGGGGAAUGUAGCUCAGUUGGAAGAGCGCCGCACUUGCACUGCGGAGGCCGUCGGUUCGAACCCGAUCAUCUCCAUCAAAAUUCGAAUUUCGAAACAUUGAAUUCCGAAUUUUUCCCUCGGUCAGACUUGCAGUUUGAUUGAGAUUUUGAGGUCUUUGACAACUGAAUAUUGAUGGGCAAACUCUACGAAUCGUAGAGCGAGCGCCAAAGGCAAGUAAUGAUCAAGCUACUAAGAGCAUACGGUGGAUGCCUUGGCGACGGAAGGCGAUGAAGGACGUGCUAA